rnacentral:rRNA from 1 species
GACGAACGCUGGCGGCGUGCUUAACACAUGCAAGUCGAACGGAAAGGCCCUGCUUUUGUGGGGUGCUCGAGUGGCGAACGGGUGAGUAACACGUGAGUAACCUGCCCUUGACUUUGGGAUAACUUCAGGAAACUGGGGCUAAUACCGGAUAGGAGCUCCUGCUGCAUGGUGGGGGUUGGAAAGUUUCGGCGGUUGGGGAUGGACUCGCGGCUUAUCAGCUUGUUGGUGGGGUAGUGGCUUACCAAGGCUUUGACGGGUAGCCGGCCUGAGAGGGUGACCGGCCACAUUGGGACUGAGAUACGGCCCAGACUCCUACGGGGGGCAGCAGUGGGGAAUAUUGCACAAUGGGCGGAAGCCUGAUGCAGCAACGCCGCGUGCGGGAUGACGGCCUUCGGGUUGUAAACCGCUUUCGCCUGUGACGAAGCGUGAGUGACGGUAAUGGGUAAAGAAGCACCGGCUAACUACGUGCCAGCAGCCGCGGUGAUACGUAGGGUGCGAGCGUUGUCCGGAUUUAUUGGGCGUAAAGGGCUCGUAGGUGGUUGAUCGCGUCGGAAGUGUAAUCUUGGGGCUUAACCCUGAGCGUGCUUUCGAUACGGGUUGACUUGAGGAAGGUAGGGGAGAAUGGAAUUCCUGGUGGAGCGGUGGAAUGCGCAGAUAUCAGGAGGAACACCAGUGGCGAAGGCGGUUCUCUGGGCCUUUCCUGACGCUGAGGAGCGAAAGCGUGGGGAGCGAACAGGCUUAGAUACCCUGGUAGUCCACGCUGUAAACGGUGGGUACUAGGUGUGGGGUCCAUUCCACGGGUUCCGUGCCGUAGCUAACGCUUUAAGUACCCCGCCUGGGGAGUACGGCCGCAGGGCUAAAACUCAAAGGAAUUGACGGGGCCCCGCACAAGCGGCGGAGCAUGCGGAUUAAUUCGAUGCAACGCGUAGAACCUUACCUGGGUUUGACAUGGAUCGGGAGUGCUCAGAGAUGGGUGUGCCUCUUUUGGGGUCGGUUCACAGGUGGUGCAUGGCUGUCGUCAGCUCGUGUCGUGAGAUGUUGGGUUAAGUCCCGCAACGAGCGCAACCCUUGUUCACUGUUGCCAGCACGUUAUGGUGGGGACUCAGUGGAGACCGCCGGGGUCAACUCGGAGGAAGGUGGGGAUGACGUCAAGUCAUCUUGCCCCUUAUGUCCAGGGCUUCACGCAUGCUACAAUGGCUGGUACAGAGAGUGGCGAGCCUGUGAGGGUGAGCGAAUCUCGGAAAGCCGGUCUCAGUUCGGAUUGGGGUCUGCAACUCGACCUCAUGAAGUCGGAGUCGCUAGUAAUCGCAGAUCAGCAACGCUGCGGUGAAUACGUUCCCGGG